rnacentral:lncRNA from 10 species
AUUCAGCUCCCAGCCUUCCAGAAGCUGCAAUUUUACAACCUCACUACAAGCGUCCCCCAGCAAAGCUGCACCGCCAUUUCCUGUGCUUGGGAACUGAAGGCAAGGGGAGUUCAGCCUACACCCAGGAAUGCACAAGGACAGCUUGGAGCUUAGAAGCAAGUGGAGUUGGUUCAUCUCUUUCACUGGCUCAUAAUUUUGCAACGGCGGUUUCAUCUCUACCCUGACAAUACCUUUUAGUUUUCUUACCCACUGGGGUCGAGACUUAAUUGAAGACCUCAGACGGACAGCAUAACACGGAACCUGAGACCUUGAUUUGCGGGGACAGGCUUAAAGUGUAUUCUGGAGUUGGUGCCCCCACCCCAGGGGCCGGCUCAGAGGGUUCACUUUCCAGCCUAACGGCAGGGGAACCAGAGGCUGCCGACCUGGAUCUCACCUUGAUGGAGGUCUUGUCACCUUCCUCCUUGGCUGGAGAGACAGACUGUGGAUGCUCUCCUGCUGGCCACCCAAAAACAACAAACAGACAAACAAAUAUGAAUGAGGAAAACUUGAAGAGGCCCCACGUGCCAGAGGUGGGACAGCUUGAGAUUUGGUGAGGAUAAUUGCAGUGGCUCAAAACCCAUAAAGAAGUUUAAGUCCAUGAGUUCACCGUAAUCUGAAACAAAAACAAAAACAAAAACAAAUUGAUCAUCUUUGGAGGCUAACAAUCAAUUCAUUAUCUAGAGACAGACAGAGGCUCACUAGUGGCACGAUCUUGGCUGAUUGCAUCUUCCACCUCCUGGGUUCAAGAGAUUCUUGUGCCUUAGCUUCCUGAGUAGCUAAGAUUACAGGUGUGCACCACCACGCCCGGCUAAUUUUUGUAUUUUUAGUUGAGAUGAGGUUUCACCAUGUUGGCCAGGCUGGUCUCGAACUCCUGACCUCAAGUGAUCUGCCCGCCCCGGCCUCCCAAAGUGCUGGGAUUACAGGCGUGAGCUACUGUGGCCGGCCACAUUUCCCUUCUGGUGCGCGUCCUCCUGUAGCUGUGGGAUCAGGGGAGGUAGAGAUGUCUUGUAACUGACUCAAGUUUGGCUGCUUGCCGCAGGAGAAGCGAGGUGUGGUGAAAGGAAAGCAACUUUUAUUCAGAUGCUAGCAGGUGGGAGAGUGGCCAGGCUCAAGGCUCUAAGGAACCAUCUCAGCUUUUUGGACUGCGUGAAGGGCUUUAGGAAGGAGAACUCGGUGUGGGAGACAUGUGGGAGUAGGGCAGUGGUGCAGGUGUCUUGAGUAAUUGCCCAUCCGGAGGUCUAGUUGGCAUCAUCUUGACCUUGGUCUGGUGGUGGUGGACUCAUUGUUCAUAACUCCCCUAGACAGGAGGAUUCCACAGCUGGGUUCUAUGCCUGGUUUAUUUAAAAAUGAGCCCCUGGCAUUUCUAAGCAGGCACAGAAUGAGAUAAGUGAGCACUGUGGCUGGUGGGAAAGGGAGGGAAACAGGUUUAAAGUAUGUUUCAAGGCUGCAUUCUGAGACUAGGAGGGAAAGGAAGAAAAACUUUAAAAUUCUUCUCAAGGCUGAGAUAUUUGACUACAGUCUCAUGCCCAAAAUGUUUCUAUUCUACACUGAGACCUGAUAGAUAAUUUGGCUGCAUACCUGGAGUCCAGUGUGUGCACCUGCCCCUCCCAUCCCAUACUCGCAGCCAGUGGAAAAGUCUGCAAAAGGAAGCCAGCUGGGAGUGCCCACCAGAGUCAAAGUCUGGGGCAGGCUGGUGGACUCAAGAGGAGUCUUAAAUAUUGGAAAUGUCAUCACAAACCAUCUGGGAAGCCCCCUCCUCUUAAAAAGGACAUAAAGUCAAAGUGAACAGGUGUGCUCACUCCAAGCCCGUGCCCACAACCACAGUGCCCUUCACAUUCAGAGUCAUGGCCACUAGCCACAAAAUUGUGACUUACAGUUCACAAAAUUGGGACAUAUUUACAUGUUGACUAAGUUGGGAAAUAAUUUGGAUUUUCUUUAAAAGUAGUAAAAGUAAAGAAGAAAAAGUCAAAAAGGUCUGACAUCUAAGAGGGUGAAAUUUCCUUACUUUAGAUCACAAGCAAUCAGGCUGAUCCCGCCUGAGCCCUGAGCUCCCUGGGACCCAGCAGCAGCUGUGCAUUGGCACGUGGUGCCCUGUGUCUGAUCAGCUGACUCCUCAGGCAAAACCUGCACCAUUUUCACCAGAAUUGCAGAUGUCCUCAGUGUCAUUACAAAGUUCCUAAGUCAUGACCAUUCUGUCCUGUGGAACCAGGCUGGACUAAGCUCCCAUUUCUUUAAGCCAUCCUGUCCCCUGCAGGGACUUCCAAGGUGGAGCUGAUGAGCAAUAGUUAUGAGUCAUUGGAGGAGACAUCCCAGAGGCGCCAGCUCCCCUCUGCCCUAAACUGAAAUUAAGACCUGGUGCUCUGGGUGGGGCCCCUGGAAGGGGAUGUGCAACUCAGAGGGGACCUUCUCCACCUCCACCCAGGAGACCCCAGAGGGACCAUGGCAGAGCCGGAGCCCUCUUUUUUUUUGUUCGUUUUUUAUUUUAUUAUUAUUAUACUUUAAGUUUUAGCCCUCUUUUAAAAACCAAAUGAAAAUAAGCAAAAGAAGCCAAUCGUCUCUGUGAAAUGUCCAGAAGAGGGAACUCUGUAGAGACAGAGAGGAUAUUAUUGGCUGCCGGAGGCUGGGAAUGGGAAGGUGAGGGGCCUGGGGAGGUGAUGGUUAAAAGAUUCUUCUUUGUGGUGAUGAAAUUGUCUUAAAAUGGACUGUGGUGAUAGUUGUGCAACUUGGUGAAUAUAUAAGUUAUUGAAUUGUACACUUUAAAUGGGUGAAUUGUAUGGUGUGUGAAACAUAUCUCAAUAAAGCUGUUAUUUGAAAAAUAAAUAA